rnacentral:rRNA from 1 species
UACGUAGGGGGCUAGCGUUGUCCGGAAUCAUUGGGCGUAAAGCGCGCGUAGGCGGCCAGAUAAGUCCGGUGUGAAAGUCACAGGCUCAACCUGUGAAUGCCGCUGGAAACUGUCUGGCUAGAGUCCGGAAGGGGCGAGUGGAAUUCCUGGUGUAGCGGUGAAAUGCGCAGAUAUCAGGAGGAACACCAAUGGCGAAGGCAGCUCGCUGGGACGGUACUGACGCUGAGGCGCGAAAGCUAGGGGAGCAAACGGG